rnacentral:rRNA from 1 species
CGGCUCAGUAACACGUGGAUAACCUACCCUUGAGACGGGGAUAAACCCGGGAAACUGGGUAUAAUACCCGAUAGAUCUCGACUGCUGGAAUGCAUCGAGCUUGAAAGCUCCGGCGCUCAAGGAUGGGUCUGCGGCCUAUCAGGUAGUAGUGGGUGUAGCGUACCUACUAGCCUACGACGGGUACGGGUUGUGAGAGCAAGAGCCCGGAGAUGGAUUCUGAGACACGAAUCCAGGCCCUACGGGGUGCAGCAGGCGCGAAAACUUUACAAUGCUGGAAACAGCGAUAAGGGGACCUCGAGUGCCAGGUUACAAAUCUGGCUGUCGUGGUGCCUAAAAAGCAUUGCAUAGCAAGGGCCGGGCAAGACCGGUGCCAGCCGCCGCGGUAACACCGGCGGCUCGAGUGGUAACCGUUAUUAUUGGGUCUAAAGGGUCUGUAGCCGGCCGGAUAAGUCUCUUGGGAAAUCUGGCAGCUUAACUGUCAGGCUUUCAGGAGAUACUGUCUGGCUCGAGGCCGGGAGAGGUGAGAGGUACUUCAGGGGUAGGGGUGAAAUCUUGUAAUCCUUGAAGGACCACCAGUGGCGAAGGCGUCUCACCAGAACGGACCUGACGGCAAGGGACGAAAGCUAGGGGCACGA